CAUCGUGAUGAGAAGGAACGUUCGUGUGGGGAAGUAUUUCCUCGGCGGACCGCUCAAUCGUGGCGGGAUCUCAUCACAAACUCUAACUCGCCCCCUCCGGAACUAAACAUGUUAAAGCGGCGGUGGAAAACCUUGGAAACUCCUCUCUGACAGAGCGUGAAUGGAAGCUAGCUGGAUUAUCUUAGCUAAUACUUAGCAAAGCAUACUUGUGUGGCUGUGUGUGUGCGACUCAGGCUGUUUAAUGUAAGUGAGCGUUUUACAAUGCACGCUAACGAUGUGCAGGCUCUGAGUUAAAGGGAUAGUUUGGAUUUUUUGGCAUGAAGUUGUAUGACAUCCCCAUCAGUAGUGGACUGUAUCAACAGUGACUUAACCCCCAUUUGGUCCCACGGGUUCCGUGAUGAGGAACGUAGUUCUGCUUAGUUGCUGGGUCAUUUAAGUAAAGAGUUUGGCUUCUCAAAACAAUAUGCGUUCAAAAGAGCAAUACAUUUGCAUUAUAAAAAUGCCUCCUCAAGAAAAAUCAGACCUCACUAAUCGCUUGGCUUUAUGUUUGUCUCCCGCCGUGUGCCUGCGCUCUGUCGCCUCUCCAUUUGCUUGUAUGUGAUGAAGACGCUCGCAGUAGUAGUGUUCUUUACUAAGUCCAACAAUACCUCCAGUGCCAAGCCAGAUGUUGUUGUUUCUAGGAAAAGACUGCAGAUCGUAUCAGAAAACAAAUAUCUGGGUGUCAAAAUUGACACAAAACUGUCAUUUACAGUGGUGUGAAAAAGUGUUUGCCCCCUUCCUUAUGUUUUUUUGCAUGUUUGUCACACUUAAAUGUUUCAGACCAUCAAACAAAUUUAAGUAUAAGUCAAUGACAACACAAAUGAAGACAACAUGCAGUUUUGAAAUGAAACUUUUUAUUAUUAAGAGAGAAAGAAAUCCAAACCUACAUGGCCCUGUGUGAAAAAGUGUCUAUUAGUCUGGAGGAAAAGGUUAUAAAGCCAUUUGUAAAGCUUAAGGACUCCAGCAAACCACAGUGAGAGCCAUUAUCUACAAAUGGCGAAAACAUGGAACAGUGGUGAACCUUCCAAGGAGUGACCAGCCAACCAAAAUGACCCCAAGAGCACAGUGACGACUCAUCCAAGAGGUCACAAAAGACACUACAACAACAUCCAAAGAACUGCAGGCCUCACUUGCCACAGUUAAGUUUUGCCAGAAAACAUCUUGAUGAUCCCCAAGACCUUUGGGAAAAUACUCUGUGGUCUGACGAAACAAAAGUUGAACUUUUUGGAAGGACCUGGAAGACUUUCCGUGAUAAAUGGAACCAUGAAUUCUGCUGUCUACCGAAAAAUCCUGAAGGAGAAUGUCCGGCCAUCUGUUGGUGACCUCAAGCUGAAACCAACUUGGGUUGUGCAGCAGGACAAUGAUCCAAAACACACCAGCCAGUCCACCUCUGAAUGGCUGAAGAAAAACAAAAUGAAGACUUGGAGUGUCCUAGUCCAAGUCCUGACCUGAAUCCUAUUGAGAUGCUGUGGCAUGACCUUAAAAAGGCGCUUCAUGCUGGAAAACCCUCCAAUGUGGCUGAAUGACAACAAUUCUGCAAAGAUGAGUGGGCCAAAAUUCCUCCACAGCGCUGGAAGAGACUCAUUGCAAGUUAUCACAAACGCUUGAUUGCAGUUGUUGCUGCUAAGGGUGGCCCAACCACUUAUUAGGUUUAGGGGGCAAUCACUUUUUAACACUGGGACAUGUAGCUUUGCAUUGUUUUCCUCC